AAGUCCAGAGACUUAAAUUUGUAAUUCAAGUUCAAGUCCAGAGACUUAAAUUUAAGAAGGGAGGGACCUUUGCAAAAAAUAAGGUACAAGUCCAGUUAAAUUUAAGAAGGGAGGGACCUUUGCAAAAAAUAAGGUUCAAGUCCAGAGACUUAAAUUUGUAAUUCAAGUUCAAGUCCAGAGACUUAAAUUUAAGAAGGGAGGGACCUUUGCAAAAAAUAAGGUACAAGUCCAGUUAAAUUUAAGAAGGGAGGGACCUUUGCAAAAAAUAAGGUUCAAGUCCAGAGACUUAAAUUUGAGAAGGGAGGGAC